ACCGCUGUAGCUCAGCGGAUAGAGCUCUUGGUUGACUCCCGAGAUUGUCGUAGGUUCGAAUCCUACCAGCGGUA
rnacentral:tRNA from 1 species